rnacentral:lncRNA from 1 species
CAUUCCAUUCCCUGCUGUUGCUGCUCCCAGGGCAAUCCCUCUCCAAGAUCACUUUUAUUCCUUGGGAUCUGACCUGUGGUCCUGGGGCAAAACACAAGCUGGAUUUAAAGGGGGAUUUUGCCCGAGUGAGGGCUCCAGGUUUCACCACGGCAGCUCAAGAAUUCACAUAAUGAUAGAAUAAUGGAAUCUUAGAUUGGUUUGGGUUGGGAGGGACCUUAAAACUCACCUGUCACAGGUAGGGAACUUUCUACUAGACCAGGUCUCUCCAAGCCCCAUCUGACCUUGGAUACACCACGUUUCUGGUGCUCCACAUAGAGAACUUACCAACCCACAAUUCAAUUUGAUUAGAGGAACCAGAGAUGUUCAAGAGAGCUCUCUUAUAAAUUGCUUUUUGCAGUCAAAUUAAGGAUUAUUGCUGAGUGUCUUGUGGUUUGCACCAGCUCUGCUUUGCAGUUUUAUCCCUUGUUUUGCCUCUUGUCCUUCUAUGGCCAAACAGCAAAAGGAGAUCAGCUCUCCCUGUAGGCCCCACGAGUGAGAUUUCAGUGUGCAGAAUUCAAGGGACGAUCCCCACAACAUUUCCUGGGUUUUAAUGCAUUCAGUAAGUGUAAAAACCUCUUAAAACAGAGCAAGGUUGUAAAACUUGGCUCAGUACAAGUUUGCCCCAAUUACCACAUGACAGAUCCUCGCAGCUGCUCCGCUGUGCUCUCCUCUGGAAUCUGCUCCACACAACCACCAAACGGCUUCCAGAAGGCAGAGCUUUGUCUUCACGCACAUCUGUUGCAUUUUUUAAAGGGUACAUGAUGAGACCCAGAUGGGAGAAGGCAAAACUCUCCUUAAUGACAGCUGAUGUUUGAUGGAGCCAAAUCGGAGCAGACAGCAAAGAUCCUUAUCUUAGCAUGGGAAGGCUGACAGCAGAAUAUUUCUCUUGAUUUCGGGAUUAUUUUGUUAUGGACUCCAAAACCACACUCCAAAAAUAACUCAGAUUCAUGUGUUUGCUGAUGCCUGUGUGCUCCUCCACCCUCCUUGCACAGGUAAAUCCC